AGGAAGUGAUUGUCGGAACCAUGC
rnacentral:siRNA from 1 species